GAUGCUCGAUUAGAAGAGCUUUUAAUUGAUGGAAUCCUUUAUGCCUUCCAAGAGCAGACCAGUGACGAUGCCAAUGUGAUGCUUAACGGAUUUGGUGCUGUUGUAAAUGCACUUGGUCAAAGAGUUAAACCAUACCUUCCUCAGAUUUGUGGUACCAUAAAAUGGCGACUGAACAACAAGAGUGCAAAGGUGAGACAGCAAGCUGCAGAUCAUAUCAUAGAGUUAAACCAUACCUUCCUCAGAUUUGUGGUACCAUAAAAUGGCGACUGAACAACAAGAGUGCAAAGGUGAGACAGCAAGCUGCAGAUCUGAUAUCCAGAAUUGCAGUGGUUAUGAAGCAGUGUGGGGAAGAGCAACUAAUGGGCCAUCUUGGUGUUGUCUUGUACGAGUACUUGGGAGAAGAAUACCCAGAAGUUCUAGGAUCUAUACUGGGGGCUCUGAAGGCUAUUGUGAAUGUUAUUGGUAUGACCAAGAUGACACCUCCAAUUAAGGACUUGCUUCCUCGCUUGACCCCAAUUUUGAAGAAUCGUCACGAGAAAGUUCAGGAGAACUGUAUUGACCUUGUUGGUCGAAUUGCAGAUCGUGGAGCUGAAUUUGUUCC
rnacentral:lncRNA from 1 species